GCCUGGGUGGCUCAGCGGUUGAGCAUCUGCCUUCGGCUCAGAGCGUGAACCCGGGGUCCUGGGAUCGAGUCCCACAUCGGGCU
rnacentral:tRNA from 1 species